rnacentral:misc_RNA from 1 species
GAAAUGCGAUAAGUAAUGUGAAUUGCAGAAUUCCGUGAAUCAUCGAAUCUUUGAACGCACAUUGCGCCCUCUGGUAUUCCGGGGGGCAUGCCUGUCCGAGCGUCAUUGCGAACCCCUCAAGCACGGCUUGUGUGAUGGGCCCUCCCGCGUCUUGGUCGUCAAGACGGGCCCGAAAUGCAGUGGCGGCUUCGCGGUUAUCCGAUCAGCCAGAGCGUAUGGGGACUUUCUCUCUGUCACACGCCCGCGGCGCGGACCGACGCCUGUCGACCUUCAUUCAUCGUUUUCUCGGUUGACCUCGGAUCAGGUAGGGAUACCCGCUGAACACAAGC